AUUGAACGCUGGCGGCAGGCCUAACACAUGCAAGUCGAACGGUAACAGGAAGCAGCUUGCUGCUUCGCUGACGAGUGGCGGACGGGUGAGUAAUGUCUGGGAAACUGCCUGAUGGAGGGGGAUAACUACUGGAAACGGUAGCUAAUACCGCAUAACGUCGCAAGACCAAAGAGGGGGACCUUAGGGCCUCUUGCCUUCGGAUGUGCCCAGAUGGGAUUAGCUAGUAGGUGGGGUAACGGCUCACCAAGGCGACGAUCCCUAGCUGGUCUGAGAGGAUGACCAGCCACACUGGAACUGAGGCACGGUCCAGACUCCUACGGGAGGCAGCAGUGGGGAAUAUUGCACAAUGGGCGAAAGCCUGAUGGAGCCAUGCCGCGUGUGUGAAGAAGGUCUUCGGGUUGUAAAACUCUUUUAGCGGGGAGGAAGGGAGGUAAGUUUAUACCUUUUCUUAUUGACGGUACCCGCAGAAGAAGCGCCGGCUAACUCCGUG
rnacentral:rRNA from 1 species